AUACGUAGGUGCCAAGCGUUAUCCGGAUUUACUGGGCGUAAAGGGCGUGUAGGCGGUCUUGCAAGUCAGAAGUGAAAUUCCUGAGCUCAACUCGGGCGCUGCUUCUGAAACUGCAGGACUUGAGUGCUGGAGGGGAUAGCGGAAUUCCUAGUGGAGCGGUAAAAUGCGCAGAUAUUAGGAAGAACACCGGUGGCGAAGGAGGCUAUCUGGACAGUAACUGACGCGGAUGCGCGAAAGCGUGGGGAGCAAACAGGAUUAGAUGCCCUGGUAGUCCACGCCGUAAACGAUGAAUACUAGGUGUAGGGGGUAUCGACUCCCUCUGUGCCGCAGUUAACACAAUAAGUAUUCCGCCUGGGGAGUACGGCCGCAAGGUUGAAACUCAAAUGAAUUGACGGGG
rnacentral:rRNA from 1 species